rnacentral:rRNA from 1 species
GAACAGGACGUCGUAGAGGGUGAGAAUCCCGUCUUGGGCGGCCGGUCCGCGCCCGUGUGAAGCUCCUUCGACGAGUCGAGUUGUUUGGAAUGCAGCUCUAAGCGGGUGGUAAAUUUCAUCUAAAGCUAAAUACUGGCCGGAGACCGAUAGCGCACAAGUAGAGUGAUCGAAAGGUUAAAAGCACCUUGAAAAGGGAGUUAAACAGCACGUGAAAUUGUUGAAAGGGAAGCGCUUGCGGCCAGACUCGAGGGGCGGGGUUCAGCGGGUGCGCGUCACCCGUGCACUCCCCGUCCCCCCGGGCCAGCAUCAGUUUCGACGGCCGGUCAAAGGCCCCCGGAAUGUGUCGUCUCUAGGGACGUCUUAUAGCCGGGGGUGCAAUGCGGCCCGCCGGGACUGAGGAACGCGCUCC